rnacentral:rRNA from 1 species
GGCCUGGCGGCGAGUGGCGAACGGGUGAGUAAUACAUCGGAACGUGCCCUGUUGUGGGGGAUAACUAGUCGAAAGAUUAGCUAAUACCGCAUACGACCUGAGGGUGAAAGCGGGGGACCGGUAACGGCCUCGCGCAAUAGGAGCGGCCGAUGUCUGAUUAUCUAGUUGGUGGGGUAAAGGCCUACCAAGGCGACGAUCAGUAUGUGGUCUGAGAGGACGAUCAGCCACACUGGGACUGAGACACGGCCCAGACUCCUACGGGAGGCAGCAGUGGGGAAUUUUGGACAAUGGGGGCAACCCUGAUCCAGCAGUGCCGCGUGUGUGAAGAAGGCCUUCGGGUUGUAAAGCACUUUUGUCCGGAAAGAAAUCGCGCUGGCUAAUACCUGGCGUGGAUGACGGUACCGGAAGAAUAAGCACCGGCUAACUACGUGCCAGCAGCCGCGGUAAUACGUAGGGUGCGAGCGUUAAUCGGAAUUACUGGGCGUAAAGCGUGCGCAGGCGGUUUUGUAAGACAGGCGUGAAAUCCCCGGUCUCAACCUGGGAAUUGCGCUUGUGACUGCAAGGCUAGAGUGCGUCAGAGGGGGGUAGAAUUCCACGUGUAGCAGUGAAGUGCGUAGAGAUGUGGAGGAAUACCGAUGGCGAAGGCAGCCCUCUGAGACGAGACUGACGCUCAUGCACGAAAGCGUGGGGAGCAAACAGGAUUAUAUACCCUGAUAGUCCACGCCCUACACGAUGUCAACUAUUUGUUGGAGAUUCAUUUCCUCAGUAACGUAUCUAACGCGUGAAGUUGACCGCCUGGAGAGUACGGUCGCAAGAUUAAAACUCAAAGGAAUUGACGGAGACCCGCACAAGCGGUGGAUGAUGUGGAUUAAUUCGAUGCACGCGAAAAAUCUUACCUACCCUUGACAUGCCACUAACGAAGCAGAGAUG